GUGUUUCUAAUGGUAUAAAAACUGUAUUCCCCCAGCAAAAUAAUAUGAGUUUAAGCUAUAGAACUUGAGAAUGAAUUGAAUAGAACUUCAAGUUACAAUAAUAAAAUUGCCAAUACUUUUAACGAGCUGUUAGAUGAAGAGAGUUCUCUAGCUGUGGGCAAAAAUUGACAUUGAUAAACUAAUGAGAAAAGUCGUCUCAUAUGUUUUUAUAAGUAAACAAAUAUUCAAGUUGAAUCUCAUGCAAAAGAGGACAAUUACCAGCAAAGACAAAACAAAUAAGUCAACAAGUCUCUAAAUCUUAAAACAAAUAUCAGAUAAACUAAAUGUAUAAAGUUCAUACAAAAAUAUACUGAGUUUCCUGUAUUGAGAUUCACCGAUAGACUAUUUUUUCAAUCAAAGCACAUAAAUAACUUUUCAUUCAUUCUGCACAUAAAAUCAAAAUAUUUUUUUGAAAUCAAUUAGCCAAAUUCUGAUAUUUUGUAAUCUUUUUUAUACAUAAUUUCCUUAUAUACCUCAAUACAAUAACCCUCUUUCAGUUUCCCCUCUAGAAUGCGCCAUUCUCCACCUCCAGCUCCGAACAACUAACGGUUACCUCUUCGCCGAAGCUGCUUCCAGAAACUUUGGCACUUGUGGAGGACAUGGUUUUGGAAUAUGUCACAGAUUUGGAUUUGCCAAAACUUAAUCACUAAAACAAGCAAGGAAAGCUUUUGUCAUAAGAGGCCACCAAAAGAGUUGCAUAGCAUUAUCUUCUGAAUGAGAUCCAUGCAAGAGUUUGUUUCAUUUCCAGAUGGUUUUCUUUCCAUCAUGAGCAAAAGGGAUAAAAGACGACAAUGGUCGUGCUAAUAUAGUUCACAAGUUCAUCCACGAUCCAUAGGAGUAAGAACAAUCUAAACUCUCCUUGAACUAAAAUCUUACGGCUUUGCAUAUUGCAAUUUUAAAGUAAUUCCAUUAUUGGCCUUUGUUUUCAUAACAGAGCUCACCAUACUGCAGAAAAAUGUAUUUCCAUUUUAUUAAGUUAGACUCUUUAGAUACUCAGCAGAUAUCUACUUUCUUUUAAUUAGAAGAUUAUGAUGUGGAAGGCAAUGAUACAUUCUGCCUGGGGGAGCCUUAAUUAGAAGACUAUGCUUGAUCUUGAAUGAUAAUUUCUAGAGUUAUUUGUGGUAAGAGAAGUCGGCAUAAUUGUUGCAUUGUAGUUUAACCUUAAUUGUUGGAUUCUACAGUUGAAAUUUAUUGAAGGUUUCUGCUACUGCUUUAUGAAUUUUUCUGAAUGGUGUUGGUGGUUAAAUAUUGAAAUUUUGGCUGCUCAGAGUUAUGGGAAUAUUUGUGAAAUUGUGUUGAAAUGAGUGUCUAAUAUUUCAUGUUACUGAUGUGGAAACUAGAAGGAAGGUGUGAUUUGAGAGGUAUACUAAU